GGAUGAUGGUGAUGAUGCGGAUGCGGAUGAUGAUGGUGAUGAUGAUGAUGAUUAUGAUUAUGAUGAUUAUGAUGAUGACUGGAAGUAGAGGAGAGGCAUGGAAGCGUCUACUGAAACUUCGAAACAGCUCAUUGUCAGUUGACUGAAAUACAAUGUGCGAACUUGCAUGGAUUUUUUGUAUGCAACUAGUUCCGCUUAACAGCAAAGUGAUCCGCUAAACAAUGAACUGCAAACGAAGAGAAGAAAUAUGAAGGACGGACAAUAAAGAUAGAUGAAUUUUGGGAAUUUCAUGGAAAGUAUAAACAGAUCAUUCUUGCUGCAACAAUAAAUAAUUUGACCACGAGGAAUUGUGAACCACGUCGCAUUUCAAAUAUAUUGCUCACCUAAUGAUAACGCUGGGAAAUACUAAUCUUCAACUGAUACUGGGUGUGUGUCAAAGGUGUAUUAGAUUAUUCCUUGAUAUUACAUUGGCGCUGGCUUCUGCUGUGCGAAAUCUACGGACAGAAUAAACACGAUUACAAAGGAGAUAUAUUAUUGUAGAGCUGCACAAGCAUGGAAAAUGUUUAUGAAAUGUAACAAAAAUUCUGCAAUAAUUUACUGCAGACUCACACUAUUUUAAGAAACAAAUAUAGCUCCCACCAAAUGAGAUUAUUACUUGUGUAAUGUAUCUUUUUCGUGAUUUCCAUCUGUCUGACGUUCUUAACUUUCAAAUAUAUCAUCUAAAAAUAAAUGCCAGUGAAAAUGAAUUAUCUUAAAGACAACCGACAAUAAUAAUGUGAUUAUACAUUUGCACAUAUACAUAUUUUAUUGAAAUGCUAUGAGACUAUUAGCAUGUUGAUUAUACUGUAAGUUCUUUCCCUUCAAACGAUUUUAACUGCCCGCUACGCAAUGAUUGUUAAUGUUGUCUAAUAAAAUGUUGUGUAAUCUAUAUACAAGGAACUGUUGAUAGGAAACAGGAAGCGUCACUAAUGCUCCAUUUGCGUAAACACGGACUUCUUAGUCUAUGCGGAUAAUAAUCAUGGCAACAAAAAAUAUAUUUCUUGAUCUAGCAUAAUUUUCUUACUUUACAGAUAACUCCAUACAGAGUGGGUAAUGAUACUAUGUUUUAUACAUUAAAAGUCAAUGGCAAUAAAUUAAGCGACAAAAAAUUCGCUUGCUUUUAAACAUUUUUCUAUGAUCUGUACCCGAUCGAAUAUUAUUUAAUAAAAAGACUUUAUCACCGUU